GCCAAAGCCCUCCUCCCCAGCUCUCCCUCUCCUAGUCUCCUAAUUUUCUAAACGGGCAAACGGUUAAGCCUCCUUGGCUCCUCUCCAACUCCAAGACAGACUCUAACCAACCUCCAUUCCUCCUCCCGGCGGCCGGCGCGGUGCUUCUCUUCUUUCUCAUCGUCCUCCUCCUCGGCGUCUCGCGACCUCCACUCUAGGAUCCUCCACCUCGCCAACCUCCCAAUCUACCGGUUGCCGAUUUCAAACUCGCCUGACGUCAUCGAUCUCGACCAUCAUCCCCAGCCCUAGCUGGCCUGCCGACGUGGUCAAGGACGAGAAUAGCUAGACCGACGUCGACUAUUGCAAGCAGAACGAGGGUUUUUGGAUUGGCGGAUGCACGUGUGUGCAGCUGGAGAGAGUGAGUUCUUGGCCUCUUCUCGGAUUAAUUUAAUGCUCUCUUGGAAAGUUGGAAUGGAUUAGAAUACAAAGGAUUCUGAUGUCAUCCACCUUCUUCGCCUUUGUUUGGCAUUCACUGCGCCCAUCUAUCUCCUCUCUAUAUCACUUUUCUAGUGAGCUUUCCUCUGUUCUCUUCGUUUUUUUUGCUAAUUGAGAUUUUUUUAUGAGCAUAAUGUGAUUCCUAGUUGGUUUUGGGAUCUGAGAUUGCCUUGUUUUGAAAUUCUAAGGUAUUUUGGAAUGGGAUAUUGAUUUCCAAGCCUGUCGUCUUUCUUUGGCCGAACAUAUAUUUUCUUUUUUGUUUGUGACCGGGCUUGCUGUCAUUGCCUUUUUUUGUCUGUGACCAUUUCAACAAUUGCUAGCCCACUUGAUGGAUCAACAGAAACAAGUUAGUCAUGUUCAUGGUUUCUACAUCCUUUAGUUCUGGGUCGUCAUUUUAUGGUAUAGAUGGACGUCCAUAUUACAAUGCUGAAGAUGGAGCUAGUGGUGCAGAUAAAGAUCAUAUGACUUCUUCGCAAAGAAAUUUUGGUCCAAGUUCAUCCACCUAUGAGCAGGAGGUACCUUAUUGUUAUUCUUCUACUCAAGUUUGACUUGCGUCCAAGGUGACCGUUGGGUGAGAAAUACUCCCAAGGGAAAAGCGAAGCUCGUUCCUUGAAAAGAGCCAGGAUAUACCCAUAGUUGACAUCGCCAUAAUUGCUAUCGUGCAUCAUAGGCUGAACUGAUGCAUCAAAUAGUCAAUUUUCUCUUUCCAGGCCACAGGAUGUUACUGAAAUGGAGCCAUGGAGGUUAUCCGCUCAAACAACAUCCAGAACACCUGGCGGUUACCAUAGCUUGCUCAUGCAGUGCUCUCUUUGUAAAUUAAGCAGCAGAGGACAGUGAUGAAUGUCUAAUUCAAAACUUUCUUGUUCUUUUUAUUGGCAGCCAAUCUGAUGAAAUACCAUUUAAGAUGUCUUCGCUCAAGAUAAUGCAUCUUUUUAACAACUUGUGUUCA